AAACAUUUCUGGGAGAAAAUGUUUUUGGUUUAACCUGCUCAAUGCUGUAAAUAGCUGCAGUAUUUUGACUGUACAAAGGUAGCAUAAUCAUUAGUCUUUUGAUUGGAGGCUUGUAUGAAUGGUUUAACAGAAUAUUUUUUCCUUUGUGUAAAUUUAAAGUUUAUGUAAAAAUGCAUAAAUAUUUAAAUGGGACGAUAAGACCCUAUAGAAUUUUAAAAGCUAACUUUUUGUUGGGGUGACGAAAUAAACUUUCUUUCAUUCUAUGAAUAAAGAUCUUAAUUUAGAAAGUAAGAAAAAAUUACCUUAGGGAUAACAGCAUAAUUUUUUUAAAAAGUUCAAAUUUAUAAAAAAGAUUAUGACCUCGAUGUUGAAUUAAUAAAUUUUUGGUGUAGAAGUAAAUUU
rnacentral:rRNA from 1 species